GCAUAUCAAUAAGCGGAGGAAAAGAAACCAACAGGGAUUGCCUUAGUAACGGCGAGUGAAGCGGCAACAGCUCAAAUUUGAAAUCUGGCUCUUUUAGAGUCCGAGUUGUAAUUUGCAGAGGGCGCUUUGGCGUUGGCAGCGGUCCAAGUUCCUUGGAACAGGACGUCACAGAGGGUGAGAAUCCCGUACGUGGUCGCUAGCCAUCGCCGUGUAAAGCCCCUUCGACGAGUCGAGUUGUUUGGGAAUGCAGCUCUAAAUGGGAGGUAAAUUUCUUCUAAAGCUAAAUACUGGCCAGAGACCGAUAGCGCACAAGUAGAGUGAUCGAAAGAUGAAAAGCACUUUGGAAAGAGAGUCAAAUAGCACGUGAAAUUGUUGAAAGGGAAGCGCUUGCAGCCAGACUUGCCUGUAGUUGCUCAUCCGGGCUUUUGCCCGGUGCACUCUUCUGCGGGCAGGCCAGCAUCAGUUUGGGCGGUUGGAUAAAGGUCUCUGUCAUGUACCUCUCUUCGGGGAGAACUUAUAGGGGAGACGACAUACAACCAGCCUGGACUGAGGUCCGCGCAUUUGCUAGGAUGCUGGCGUAAUGGCUGUAAGCGGCCCGUCUUGAAACACGGACCAAGGAGUCUAACAUCUAUGCGAGUGUUUGGGUGUCAAGCCCGAGCGCGUAAUGAAAGUGAACGGAGGUGGGACCCCUUUUAGGGUGCACCAUCGACCGAUCCUGAUGUCUUCGGAUGGAUUUGAGUAAGAGCAUGGCUGUUGGGACCCGAAAGAUGGUGAACUAUGCUUGAAUAGGGUGAAGCCAGAGGAAACUCUGGUGGAGGCUCGCAGCGGUUCUGACGUGCAAAUCGAUCGUCAAAUUUGGGCAUAGGGGCGAAAGACUAAUCGAACUAUCUAGUAGCUGGUU
rnacentral:rRNA from 1 species